ACUUGCCCUGAGGGAAACACAGAAAUGGUUCUGUUACGGGUUCCGGAGGAGGUACCCCAAGUAGGACUCAAACCCAUGUCCCUCCAAAGUCUACCACACAGAGACAGUCUCAAGCAAAGAUGGAUUUAUUGGGGAAGUAAAAAGCGAACUGACCAGUCAGGGAUGCAGCACAGACUCCGGAGCUGAAAC